rnacentral:lncRNA from 1 species
UUUUUUUUUUUUUUUUUUUUUUUUUUAAAACUAUGAUAUCUUGACCACAAAGGAACAGAUCCCGGUAAUGUCUCGGCCAAGGUCAGGCAUAGAGUUCAGAGCAUAGAGCGAGUUUGACUGUCUAAUUUUUAGGAGACCUGUUGAGCAGAUAGGUGUGUGGGGUGGGUGGAGCUGUGUGGGUAUGCAAAGGGUGGGUGUGGCUUUGAGGAUCAGUCAGUUUGUCAGUCUAUCCUUCAGUCUGCCUGGUCCAUCGGUUGGUCGGUCGGUCGGUCGGUAGUCCUUCAGCCUGUUGGACCCAGGAAGGUGCUGCUGUUCUCAGUCGACAAAUCCUACGAGUCCGGGGCCUAAGACGGAGAGACCAGAAUGGAGGCCCUAAUGUGAAUGGAGACUAGCCUGCUGGUAGAGACCUUGGCAGUGACCGCUGUGGGCAAUGAGCCAUGGGCCAACAAUAUUCAAUGCUGUGUACCUGAUGGAUGGUUACUGUCUGAGACUGAGGCUUUUUGGGCCAGGAGUAAAAGGACUUGGUUUGUACUUGAUUGCGUCCUGUGGAUGCUUGCCUACCAACUGACUCAUCCUGACGUGCCAAAGGUCCUGGCUUUCCCCUGUGUGGGUAAGGGAAGAAGAGAGUUCUGACCCCUGAUUUAAUUAUUUACUGUGGAACCAUUGUCCUGAGUCAGGAGGAUAGAUGAGGAAAGAAUGAGAGCGUGGCUGGCAUCGCUUCAUGAUUACAUUCUGGGAAAGAUCUUGCCUGUUAACCUCUAGAGAAGGAGGGACGAUACAGACAAUGAAGACUAUAGCAGACUGAAUUACUCUCUGAGAUGAGGACUUUGCUAUUGCCAUUGCAGAACCACUGGUGGAAGUUGUUGUUAAACAGUGGGUCUUGCAUGCAAGCUCUACAGUUAUGCACAGUAUUUCCAUGACAUCCCAAGCCAUGAGGUUCAUGCUGCCAUAUCCCCCUGUUUAACAAGUGUGGAAACUGAUAAUGGACUCACAAUUGCUGAUGUAUAGGUUCUAAUGUUUUCUAUUGUGGACACGGGACACCCAGACUGAGAACCAAUGGCUCCAGUCUGAUUUAAACAUGGGUCCGUGCUCACACACUCAAUACCUACCCUCUGUGCUCACAAGUCCUGUGUGAGUAAGACUCCAAAUUAUUCUGUCUUGUUUUACUCAAUGGUAUGCUCUACCUUAUUAUAGAGUAUACCAUGUAUUGAGACAAGAAUGCCAGUCAUUCUGAGAAACAAAAUGCAACCAUUAGUUGUCAUUUUAAUUAGUGACGAAUAGUUGUGUCAAUCAUCAAACAUGCUUGUAUAAUUGGAUGAGAAGAGGUGUAACACGGGCCAAUGAUGACGAGGUUUCGGGAUUAUAAGUCACGGACGAUGACUACGUCACUAGAGGUCUGAGGUCCAUAGCAGAAGAUGCCUCAUGUGACCCUCUCAUGCAGGGGUUGCAUGUCAGGCAUGUGCAUACAGUAGAUAUUAGCCAUGCACUCUCACCAUUUCAUAGUAGAUCACAGAAUCAAGAUACAAAUCUCCAUGCACGGAAAGGAUUUAAGGCAUUGAUCAAUCCUGAACAUAAAUAUUUGGCCAUCAAUGAUAUUUACGCACACACUGAAAAAUCUAUUCAGAAUGACUUACACAAAGGUUUAUAUAACCUUUAUCAAAGGUAAUUUAUAUAGUAAGAUUCAUGGCUGAAGUCUUCAUGAUGGUCAAGGCCUUAAUUUUUAAAAUUAUCAAUUUUUUUCUUUUCUUUUUUUUUAACUUGAAUUUUUUUUUAAUGAAAACUAUCAUGACAAUUUGUCUCUUAAAUGAAAGGAGAAAUGUAAAACUAAAUGGACAAAUAUCAACCUUUUUAUUAUCUUUGCUGUUGUGCCCUCCCUGGAUGGGUGCUGGCACAUGAUGUCUUGCCUGCUGGUCCGUGGUUGCACUCUCA